AUUGAACGCUGGCGGAAUGCUUUACACAUGCAAGUCGAACGGCAGCACGGACUUCGGUCUGGUGGCGAGUGGCGAACGGGUGAGUAAUGUAUCGGAACGUGCCCAGUCGUGGGGGAUAACGUAGUGAAAAUUACGCUAAUACCGCAUACGAUCUAUGGAGGAAAGCGGGGGAUCGCAAGACCUCGCGCGAUUGGAGCUGCCGAUAUCAGAUUAGGUAGUUGGGGGGGGAAAGACACACCAAGCCAACGGGCUGUAGCGGGUCUAAGAGGACGACCAGCCACACGGGAACUGAGACAGGGUCCAGCCUCCUACGGGGGGAAGCAGUGGGGAAUUUUGGACAAUGGGCGAAAGCCUGUUCCAGCCUUCCCGCGGGCAGGAUGAAGCCCCUCGGGUUGUAAACUGCUUUUGUACCGAACGAAAAGGUUUCUACUAAUACUAGGGGCUCAUGACGGUACUGUAAGAAUAAGCACCGGCUAACUACGUGCCAGCAGCCGCCGUAA
rnacentral:rRNA from 1 species